rnacentral:rRNA from 1 species
AUUGAACGCUGGCGGCAGGCUUAACACAUGCAAGUCGAACGGAGUGGCGAACGGGUGAGUAACACGUGGGUGACCUGCCCUGCACUUCGGGAUAAGCAUGGGUAACUGGGUCUAAUACCGGAUAGUGUGGGAUGGGCCCGGGGCCUAUCAGCUUGUUGGUGGGGUAAUGGCCUACCAAGGCGGCGACGGGUAGCCGGCCUGAGAAGGUGGACAGACACAUUGGGACUGAGGCACGGACCAGACUCCUACGGGGCGCAGCGGUGGGGAGUAUUGCACAAUGGGCGGAAGCGUGAUGCAGCGACGCUGCGUGGGGGAUGACGGCCUUCGGGUUGUAAACUCCUUUCACCAUCGACGCGGUAGAUGGAGAAGAAGCACCGGCUAACUACGUGCCAGCAGCCGCGGUAAUAC